GGAUGUGAGGGCGAUCUGGCUGUGACAUCUGUCACCUCAUUGAUCGCCAGGGUUGAUUCAGCUGAUCUGGCUGGCUAGGUGGGUGUCCCCUUCCUCCCUCAUUGCUCCAUGUGCGUCCCUCCUGAAGCUGCACACUCGGUCAGAGAGGACGACCCCCCCCAUAGAGGAGGACCAUUUCCUCGGUCAAGGGUAUACGAGUAGCUGCACUCCCGUGCUAGAACCUCCAAAUAAGCUCUCAAGAAAUUAAAUCAUAUCAAAUUAUAGGUCACAUUUGUGAGUGUCACCUGUAUUCCCACACUUUUAUACUUUUCCUGAAAGUUGCAAACAUUU
rfam:Heterocephalus glaber contig18961, whole genome shotgun sequence.